GAUGAACGCUGGCGGCGUGCCUAAUACAUGCAAGUCGAGCGAACAGACGAGGAGCUUGCUCCUCUGACGUUAGCGGCGGACGGGUGAGUAACACGUGGAUAACCUACCUAUAAGGCUGGGAUAACUUCGGGAAACCGGAGCUAAUACCGGAUAAUAUAUUGAACCGCAUGGUUCAAUAGUGAAAGACGGUUUUGCUGUCACUUAUAGAUGGAUCCGCGCCGCAUUAGCUAGUUGGUAAGGUAACGGCUUACCAAGGCGACGAUGCGUAGCCGACCUGAGAGGGUGAUCGGCCACACUGGAACUGAGACACGGUCCAGACUCCUACGGGAGGCAGCAGUAGGGAAUCUUUCGCAAUGGGCGAAAGCCUGACGGAGCAACGCCGCGUGAGUGAUGAAGGUCUUCGGAUCGUAAAACUCUGUUAUUAGGGAAGAACAAAUGUGUAAGUAACUAUGCACGUCUUGACGGUACCUAAUCAGAAAGCCACGGCUAACUACGUG
rnacentral:rRNA from 1 species